UGUGGAGUUGCUGGGUAAUAUGGUAAGCACGUCUUAACAUUGUGAGGAACUGUGAACUGUUUUCCAAAGUGGCUGCACCAUUUUACAUUCCCACCAGCAAU
rnacentral:pre_miRNA from 1 species